GUCCCAGCUCCUACGGGAGGCAGCAGUGGGGAAUAUUGCACAAUGGGGGGAACCCUGAUGCAGCGACGCCGCGUGGGUGAAGGAGCACCUCGGUGCGUAAAGCCCUAUCGGCAGGGAAGAAACAGACGGUACCUGACUAAGAAGCCCCGGCUAACUACGUGCCAGCAGCCGCGGUAAUACGUAGGGGGCAAGCGUUAUCCGGAUUCACUGGGUGUAAAGGGAGCGUAGACGGCGACGCAAGUCUGGAGUGAAAGCCCGGGGCCCAACCCCGGGACUGCUCUGGAAACUGCGUCGCUGGAGUACGGGAGGGGCAGGCGGAAUUCCUGGUGUAGCGGUGAAAUGCGUAGAUAUCAGGAGGAACACCGGUGGCGAAGGCGGCCUGCUGGACUGCGACUGACGUUGAGGCCCGAAAGCGUGGGGAGCAAACAGGAUUAGAUACCCUAGUACUU
rnacentral:rRNA from 1 species